GUGUCAGCAGCCGCGGUAAUACGGAGGAUCCAAGCGUUAUCCGGAAUUACUGGGCGUAAAGAGUUGCGUAGGUGGCAUAGUAAGUAGGUAGUGAAAGCGUUCGGCUCAACCGGAUACACAUUACCUAAACUGCUAAGCUUGAGGAUGAGAGAGGUUAUUGGAAUUCCCAGUGUAGGAGUGAAAUCCGUAGAUAUUGGGAGGAACACCGAUGGCGUAGGCAGAUAACUGGCUCAUUCCUGACACUAAGGCACGAAAGCGUGGGGAGCAAACGGGAUUAGAAACCCCGGUAGUCC
rnacentral:rRNA from 1 species